CUAUGACGUUUGUCAUGGCGGAAGGAG
rnacentral:ncRNA from 1 species